rnacentral:rRNA from 1 species
GGUUAAGCGACUAAGCGUACACGGUGGAUGCCCUGGCAGUCAGAGGCGAUGAAGGACGUGCUAAUCUGCGAUAAGCGUCGGUAAGGUGAUAUGAACCGUUAUAACCGGCGAUUUCCGAAUGGGGAAACCCAGUGUGUUUCGACACACUAUCAUUAACUGAAUCCAUAGGUUAAUGAGGCGAACCGGGGGAACUGAAACAUCUAAGUACCCCGAGGAAAAGAAAUCAACCGAGAUUCCCCCAGUAGCGGCGAGCGAACGGGGAGCAGCCCAGAGCCUGAAUCAGUGUGUGUGUUAGUGGAAGCGUCUGGAAAGGCGCGCGAUACAGGGUGACAGCCCCGUACACAAAAAUGCACAUAUUGUGAGCUCGAUGAGUAGGGCGGGACACGUGGUAUCCUGUCUGAAUAUGGGGGGACCAUCCUCCAAGGCUAAAUACUCCUGACUGACCGAUAGUGAACCAGUACCGUGAGGGAAAGGCGAAAAGAACCCCGGCGAGGGGAGUGAAAAAGAACCUGAAACCGUGUACGUACAAGCAGUGGGAGCACGCUUAGGCGUGUGACUGCGUACCUUUUGUAUAAUGGGUCAGCGACUUAUAUUCUGUAGCAAGGUUAACCGAAUAGGGGAGCCGAAGGGAAACCGAGUCUUAACUGGGCGUUAAGUUGCAGGGUAUAGACCCGAAACCCGGUGAUCUAGCCAUGGGCAGGUUGAAGGUUGGGUAACACUAACUGGAGGACCGAACCGACUAAUGUUGAAAAAUUAGCGGAUGACUUGUGGCUGGGGGUGAAAGGCCAAUCAAACCGGGAGAUAGCUGGUUCUCCCCGAAAGCUAUUUAGGUAGCGCCUCGUGAAUUCAUCUCCGGGGGUAGAGCACUGUUUCGGCAAGGGGGUCAUCCCGACUUACCAACCCGAUGCAAACUGCGAAUACCGGAGAAUGUUAUCAUGGGAGACACACGGCGGGUGCUAACGUCCGUCGUGAAGAGGGAAACAACCCAGACCGCCAGCUAAGGUCCCAAAGUCAUGGUUAAGUGGGAAACGAUGUGGGAAGGCCCAGACAGCCAGGAUGUUGGCUUAGAAGCAGCCAUCAUUUAAAGAAAGCGUAAUAGCUCACUGGUCGAGUCGGCCUGCGCGGAAGAUGUAACGGGGCUAAACCAUGCACCGAAGCUGCGGCAGCGACGCUGAUGCGUUGUUGGGUAGGGGAGCGUUCUGUAAGCCUGCGAAGGUGUGCUGUGAGGCAUGCUGGAGGUAUCAGAAGUGCGAAUGCUGACAUAAGUAACGAUAAAGCGGGUGAAAAGCCCGCUCGCCGGAAGACCAAGGGUUCCUGUCCAACGUUAAUCGGGGCAGGGUGAGUCGACCCCUAAGGCGAGGCCGAAAGGCGUAGUCGAUGGGAAACAGGUUAAUAUUCCUGUACUUGGUGUUACUGCGAAGGGGGGACGGAGAAGGCUAUGUUGGCCGGGCGACGGUUGUCCCGGUUUAAGCGUGUAGGCUGGUUUUCCAGGCAAAUCCGGAAAAUCAAGGCUGAGGCGUGAUGACGAGGCACUACGGUGCUGAAGCAACAAAUGCCCUGCUUCCAGGAAAAGCCUCUAAGCAUCAGGUAACAUCAAAUCGUACCCCAAACCGACACAGGUGGUCAGGUAGAGAAUACCAAGGCGCUUGAGAGAACUCGGGUGAAGGAACUAGGCAAAAUGGUGCCGUAACUUCGGGAGAAGGCACGCUGAUAUGUAGGUGAGGUCCCUCGCGGAUGGAGCUGAAAUCAGUCGAAGAUACCAGCUGGCUGCAACUGUUUAUUAAAAACACAGCACUGUGCAAACACGAAAGUGGACGUAUACGGUGUGACGCCUGCCCGGUGCCGGAAGGUUAAUUGAUGGGGUCAGCGCAAGCGAAGCUCUUGAUCGAAGCCCCGGUAAACGGCGGCCGUAACUAUAACGGUCCUAAGGUAGCGAAAUUCCUUGUCGGGUAAGUUCCGACCUGCACGAAUGGCGUAAUGAUGGCCAGGCUGUCUCCACCCGAGACUCAGUGAAAUUGAACUCGCUGUGAAGAUGCAGUGUACCCGCGGCAAGACGGAAAGACCCCGUGAACCUUUACUAUAGCUUGACACUGAACAUUGAGCCUUGAUGUGUAGGAUAGGUGGGAGGCUUUGAAGUGUGGACGCCAGUCUGCAUGGAGCCGACCUUGAAAUACCACCCUUUAAUGUUUGAUGUUCUAACGUUGACCCGUAAUCCGGGUUGCGGACAGUGUCUGGUGGGUAGUUUGACUGGGGCGGUCUCCUCCUAAAGAGUAACGGAGGAGCACGAAGGUUGGCUAAUCCUGGUCGGACAUCAGGAGGUUAGUGCAAUGGCAUAAGCCAGCUUGACUGCGAGCGUGACGGCGCGAGCAGGUGCGAAAGCAGGUCAUAGUGAUCCGGUGGUUCUGAAUGGAAGGGCCAUCGCUCAACGGAUAAAAGGUACUCCGGGGAUAACAGGCUGAUACCGCCCAAGAGUUCAUAUCGACGGCGGUGUUUGGCACCUCGAUGUCGGCUCAUCACAUCCUGGGGCUGAAGUAGGUCCCAAGGGUAUGGCUGUUCGCCAUUUAAAGUGGUACGCGAGCUGGGUUUAGAACGUCGUGAGACAGUUCGGUCCCUAUCUGCCGUGGGCGCUGGAGAACUGAGGGGGGCUGCUCCUAGUACGAGAGGACCGGAGUGGACGCAUCACUGGUGUUCGGGUUGUCAUGCCAAUGGCACUGCCCGGUAGCUAAAUGCGGAAGAGAUAAGUGCUGAAAGCAUCUAAGCACGAAACUUGCCCCGAGAUGAGUUCUCCCUGACUCCUUGAGAGUCCUGAAGGAACGUUGAAGACGACAACGUUGAUAGGCCGGGUGUGUAAGCGCAGCGAUGCGUUGAGCUAACCGGUACUAAUGAACCGUGAGGCUUAACCUU